rnacentral:sRNA from 1 species
CCACCCUCGGCCUGUGAGAACUCCAGUUCCUCCACGUUCAGGAGUUGUGGGGGUCGAAGCCGGAAGUACACAGUCGCCUCCGUAUCAGCAGCAACUGCAACUUCCAAGCUGUUUGGGAAGAUGUCAGAAGAGUUCACCGAGUAGCGGGAGACAGCCCUGGUCUGGAAAAUCCUUAUAUUCGAACCUGCCUGCUGACAAAAGUACGCAGUUUUCAACACUGGCCAUUCAACAAC